rnacentral:rRNA from 1 species
GCAAGUCGAGCGAGAAAGUUCCCUUCGGGGGACGAGUAAAGCGGCGAACGGGUGAGUAACACGUGGGCAACCUACCUGGGAGCGGGGGAUAACCUGGGGAAACUCGGGCUAAUACCGCAUACGUCUUCGAGAUUUCGAUUUCGAAGGGAAAGCUGGCCAAUACAUGUAAGCUGGCACUCCCAGAGGGGCCCGCGCUCGAUUAGCUUGAUGGUGAGGUAACGGCUCACCAUGGCGACGAUCGAUAGCCGGCCUGAGAGGGUGAUCGGCCACACUGGGACUGAGACACGGCCCAGACUCCUACGGGAGGCAGCAGUGGGGAAUAUUGGACAAUGGGGGAAACCCUGAUCCAGCAACGCCGCGUGGAGGACGAAGGCCUUCGGGUCGUAAACUCCUGUCAGAUGGGACGAAAAGGCGUCGUUAAACAGGCGGCGUCCAUGACGGUACCACCAGAGGAAGCCCCGGCUAACUCCGUGCCAGCAGCCGCGGUAAUACGGAGGGGGCGAGCGUUAUUCGGAAUUACUGGGCGUAAAGGGCGUGCAGGCGGCCUGGCAAGUCGAAAGUGAAAUCCCUCGGCUCAACCGAGGAACUGCUUUCGAAACUGCUUGG